CCUACGAGUGGCAGCAGUGAGGAAUAUUGGUCAAUGGACGAGAGUCUGAACCAGCCAAGUCGCGUGAAGGAUGACUGCCCUAUGGGUUGUAAACUUCUUUUAUAUGGGAAUAAAAUGUUCCACGUGUGGGAUUUUGUAUGUACCAUAUGAAUAAGGAUCGGCUAACUCCGUGCCAGCAGCCGCGGUAAUACGGAGGAUCCGAGCGUUAUCCGGAUUUAUUGGGUUUAAAGGGUGCGUAGGUGGAUUGUUAAGUCAGGUGUGAAAGUUCGGGGCUCAACCGUAAAAUUGCAGUUGAAACGGGCAGUCUUGAGUACAGUAGAGGUGGGCGGAAUGCGUGGUGUAGCGGUGAAAUGCGUAGAUAUCACGAAGAACUCCGAUUGCGAAGGCAGCUCACUGGACUGCAACUGACACUGAGGCUCGAAAGUGUGGGUAGCAAACAGGAUUAGAUACCCUUGUAGUC
rnacentral:rRNA from 1 species